rnacentral:rRNA from 1 species
CCUACGGGAGGCUGCAGUGGGGGAUAUUGCACAAUGGGGGGAACCCUGAUGCAGCGACGCCGCGUGUGGGAAGACGGUCCUCUGGAUUGUAAACCACUGUCCUCAGGGACGAAAAUGACGGUACCUGGGGAGGAAGCUCCGGCUAACUACGUGCAAGCAGCCGCGGUAAUACGUAGGGAGCGAGCGUUGUCCGGAAUUACUGGGUGUAAAGGGAGCGUAGGCGGGGAUGCAAGUUGGGUGUCAAAACUACCGGCUCAACUGGUAGUCGCACUCAAAACUGCAGCUCUUGAGUGAAGUAGAGGCAGGCGGAAUUCCGAGUGUAGCGGUGAAAUGCGUAGAUAUUAGGAGGAACACCAGUGGCGAAGGCGGCCUGCUGGGCUUUUACUGACGCUGAGGCUCGAAAGUGUGGGGAGCAAACAGGAUUAGAUACCCUUGUAGUC